UGCGUAGGCGGCUUUCUAAGUCGGAUGUGAAAACUCUGGGCUCAACCCAGAGCCUGCAUCCGAAACUGGAGAGCUAGGGUUCUGGAGGGGAAAGCGGAAUUCCUGGUGUAGCGGUGAAAUGCGUAGAUAUCAGGAGGAACACCGGUGGCGAAGGCGGCUUUCUGGACAGAUACCGACGCUGAGGCACGAAAGGCUAGGGGAGCAAACA
rnacentral:rRNA from 1 species